GAACUGAAGAGUUUGAUCAUGGCUCAGAUUGAACGCUGGCGGCAGGCCUAACACAUGCAAGUCGAGCGGAUGACGGGAGCUUGCUCCUUGAUUCAGCGGCGGACGGGUGAGUAAUGCCUAGGAAUCUGCCUGGUAGUGGGGGACAACGUUUCGAAAGGAACGCUAAUACCGCAUACGUUCUACGGGAGAAAGCAGGGGACCUUCGGGCCUUGCGCUAUCAGAUGAGCCUAGGUCGGAUUAGCUAGUUGGUGAGGUAAUGGCUCACCAAGGCGACGAUCCGUAACUGGUCUGAGAGGAUGAUCAGUCACACUGGAACUGAGACACGGUCCAGACUCCUACGGGAGGCAGCAGUGGGGAAUAUUGGACAAUGGGCGAAAGCCUGAUCCAGCCAUGCCGCGUGUGUGAAGA
rnacentral:rRNA from 1 species